rnacentral:misc_RNA from 1 species
GAACUGCGAUAAGUAAUGUGAAUUGCAGAAUUCAGUGAAUCAUCGAGUCUUUGAACGCACAUUGCGCCCCCUGGCAUUCCGGGGGGCAUGCCUGUCCGAGCGUCAUUGCUGCGCUUCAAGCCCGGCUUGUGUGUUGGGUCGUCGUCCCCUCCGGGGGACGGGCCCGAAAGGCAGCGGCGGCACCGCGUCCGGUCCUCGAGCGUAUGGGGCUUUGUCACCCGCUCGAUAAGGACCGGCCGGGCGCCAGCCGGCGUCUCCAACCUUUUUUUCUCAGGUUGACCUCGGAUCAGGUAGGGAUACCCGCUGAACUUAAGC